AUUUUUAUCGCGAAUCCACCCAUUUCAACAACUGUACAGGUUCAAAGCUUUAUCAGUUACAUGAAGCAUCUUUGAUUUUGUAUGUACAAACCAUAAAUUAUAUACUUGUAACACUUGACUGUCAAUAGAACAAUUAAUAUUCUCUGAAACCUGCAUUUUUGCAACCAAACACUGUUGUGUUAUGAUCUAAAACGUUGUGCACAUUUUUGAUGCAAAACACCUUAUUUCAAUUAUUGCAAAUGUUCAAAAUUCUCUAAAUUACACUAAGUUUCGUUGGUUUAAUGUAUGUAAAGCAUUAAACACCAUAAUAACAGUAAAAAGAGAAGUCUGCGAAACAAGUAUGACCUUCAGAAUCAUUGUAAAAAACGAAAGUAAAAAGUUCUCUCGGUUUUAGGAGCAUUAUGAAAUUAUUCGAAGAAUUUGGAAGUAACUAAAUGAACAGAUGGAAUGAGACGAAAAAGUCUUUAUGAGAAAAUACAUCUCGGAAUAUCUGCUGUUUAAAACAAACAAGAAUAUAGUCGGAUGGAAUCUGCAUGCCAAGACCACAGUUAUGUGAUAAGUACAAGCCCAGAUGUUCAAGUUUUGCAUACAGCAGUGAUAUGUGACAGACUUUCCACAGCAGUGUUAUGGAGGCAAAAACAGAUUACUGUGAUGUGACCAGGCAAAGAUGUUAAAAUUUUGCAAGCAUACUGAUGUGAUGUGGGCCAGAUUUUUCACAGCAGGUAUUAAUUUAAUAAAUUAGCUUGAUCAUAGUGUAAGGCUGUUCAAUAUCAAGUAUUAUGCUACAUAUUUCAGAUUUUGUAUGUUUUACAGAAUAAGCAGGAGUGAUGAAAAAUUAUGAACACUGGUUGACUGAUGUUCUGUUUCAUUGCAUAUUUCUCAUUUGUCACUGUUGAUUUCCAUUUUGAACUGUUGAGAUAGCCAAGCUUUCUAAAAUGUUCAGUCAGAUAUAAUAAUUUUAUAUUUCUAGAUCAGGCUUUGUCGUUUGUGUCUUUUUCUGUGUAUGAAAAUGAAUAAGCACUUUGACAGAAUGACUCUUGAAAAAGCACUGAUAGAAUGAUAUUUUGCUUCUUUUUACAGAGCAAUAUGUACAUGCGAAAAUGCUAAAUUUUUACAAGCAUAUUGAAGGAGUUGUUAUUACAAACAUACUGACGUGAUGUAUGUUCCACAGCAGUAAAUUAUCGAAAGAAAAGCAGUAUUUACUUUAAAAAUACUUUGCGGAUAUCAUGAAUUUCAACAAACAUAAUACAAUUUCAGCUUAAUCAUAGUGUAAGGCUGUAGAAUUUUUGCAAUGAAUUUCAGUAUCAAAAUGUUUUUCUACAUAUUUCUGAUUCUGUACGUUUGUGUUACGGGAUAAGAAAGUGUAAGGCAGAAAUCAUAAAACUAUGAACACUAAUAGACUUAUGUGAAUUAUGCUUCAUUUUUUCUCAAAGCACAGUUGUGAAGUGUUGAUGUGAUUUGUACUAGCCAUAAUGUUUAAGUUUUACUAACAUACAGCAGUGAUGUGUAAUAGAUUUUCCACACCAUAUUUCUUGAGAGGAAAAAUAUCAGGUAUUCAUUUCACAACUACUUUGCAGAUAUCUUGAAUUUCAACAAGCAUUAUGUUAUUUCAGUUUCACAUGUUUGCAUAAAUACUCUAGAUAUGGCCUAGGUGUCAUAAACACUCUAGAUAAGGCCUAUUCACUUCCAUUUUGAAAAUUUGAAAUGCUUUUCAGUCUUAUAUAUUUUCAUUACAGGCAGCUAGAGGAGAGAAAAGAUGCAAAUGACUCAGUUCAAAGUGAUGUGUGCAUCUUAAAUGAACAGAGACAGAAUUCUUUUCACCAUUCAAAAUAACAGACUCUUAUUUAGUCCAUAUGUAUAUGUAUUGUUUCUCAUUAUGAUAUCUGCGCCCACAGAAGAAGAAUCUGCCCAUAAAAGAGUCACUAUUGCUUAUUGCGGUUGUUGUCUUUUAAUAUGAAAAGUAGUAGCAGUCUCCGAGAUAACGUUGUGUGCUAAUAUGUCUGUAUGAUAAGUCUGUAUCAAGUCCCGUACGUCCGCAAUUGAUGCUAUGCCAGCUUGUAUGCCAAGUACGCUGUCCUAAUGAAAUAAUGAGACAAUGGUAUUCACCUAUAUAAAUAAACAAUUUCACUCAUGCGGAUUAUGCCUUUGUUGAUUUAGUGCACUCGGCAGACAAGUUUGAUCAAUCAUCUCCAAGAUAAAUGAUCAGAUCAAUCAAGGAUCGUUUUCAUGUAAUAACAUGAUGCUCUUUAUACAGAGCAUUCUCUCGCAUUAAAGGUCAUAAACAGUUUGAUGUUAACAUGAUGCUAGAAGUUUGU
rnacentral:lncRNA from 1 species